GGUGGUGUAGCUUAGUGAUAGAGUACUUGCCUUUUAUGAGCAAGACCCUGAGUUCAAUCCCCAGUACUACAA
rnacentral:tRNA from 1 species